rnacentral:lncRNA from 1 species
GGCGCGCUGCUGGGAAUGGAAGUAAGAGAAUUCUGAACCCAGUACUCCAGUCCUCGGGGUUCUAAAGAAGCUCCACGUCGUAGCUCCGGAGUCCGGUCUGCGGCCCCGGGAGGAGGUGAAGCUCGGAGGUACUCUGCGCCCCACCGGGACCCCGACUCACCACAGAGACAUGGCGGCCCGGUCCAGGGCAGCUGAGCGGGGCGCACAAGAUCACAGCUCUGAGCGCCGCGGCUGGGGACAGCGGGACGAGGCCGAGCCGCACCCCCGCUGAGACUUUCUUUUUUUCCCUGCGGCUGGAGGAGGGGCCGCAGGGGCGGCGGCCCAGGUAGGUUAACCCUUUGUGCCCCGGCUCACUGUGGGGACAGCAACUCAGUUCAGCCCUGGCCACCUCAGAGGCACGCCCCACGGGAACGCGAAGAGAAGAGCCAGAAUCUCAGAGACCUUAAAGAUCGCCAACAUCCUGAGGCGACGACUUCCCCGCUGCUGGGCCUUCACGGGGUCGCCUGCCUCGCCUCCUUCGG